rnacentral:rRNA from 1 species
AUUGAACGCUGGCGGCAGGCCUAACACAUGCAAGUCGAGCGGAGCGGCGGACGGGUGAGUAAUGCCUAGGAAUCUGCCUGGUAGUGGGGGAUAACGUCCGGAAACGGGCGCUAAUACCGCAUACUAUCAGAUGAGCCUAGGUCGGAUUAGUUAGUUGGUGGGGAAAAGGCCAACCAGGGCGACGAUCCGUAACUGGUCUGAGAGGAUGAUCAGGCAACCUGAAACUGAGACACGGUCCAGCCCCCUAGGGGGGGCAGAGUGGGGGAAUAUUGGACAAGGGGCGAAAGCCUGUGCCAGCCAGGCGGCGUGUGUGAAGAAGGUUUUGGGAUUGGAAAGCCCUUUAAGUUGGGAGGCGUGACCAACAGAAUAAGCACCGGCUAACUGCGUGCAAGCAGCCGCGGUAAAC